AACGAACGCUGGCGGCAGGCUUAACACAUGCAAGUCGAACGCAUCCUUCGGGGUGAGUGGCAGACGGGUGAGUAACGCGUGGGAACGUGCCCUUCAGUUCGGAAUAACCCAGGGAAACUUGGGCUAAUACCGGAUACGUGCGAGAGCAGAAAGAUUUAUCGCUGAAGGAUCGGCCCGCGUCUGAUUAGCUAGUUGGUAGGGUAAUGGCCUACCAAGGCGACGACCAGUAGCUGGUCUGAGAGGAUGAUCAGCCACAUUGGGACUGAGACACGGCCCAAACUCCUACGGGAGGCAGCAGUGGGGAAUAUUGGACAAUGGGCGCAAGCCUGAUCCAGCCAUGCCGCGUGAGUGAUGACGGCCUUAGGGUUGUAAAGCUCUUUCAGCGGGGACGAUAAUGACGGUACCCGCAGAAGAAGCCCCGGCUAACUUCGUGCCAGCCGCCGCAGUAAAAC
rnacentral:rRNA from 1 species